rnacentral:rRNA from 1 species
GUCUUCCUACGGGGGGCAGCAGUGAGGAAUAUUGGUCAAUGGGCGGAAGCCUGAACCAGCCAAGUCGCGUGAGGGAAUAAGGCCCUACGGGUCGUAAACCUCUUUUAUAAGGGAAGAAUAAAUGCUACGUGUAGCAUGAUGCCUGUACCUUAUGAAUAAGCAUCGGCUAACUCCGUGCCAGCAGCCGCGGUAAUACGGAGGAUGCGAGCGUUAUCCGGAUUUAUUGGGUUUAAAGGGUGCGUAGGCGGUUUUUUAAGUUAGUGGUUAAACGUCGGGGCUUCACCUUGAUUUGCCAUUAAUACUGU